rnacentral:ncRNA from 1 species
UUCAUCAAGAGUAGUGGAGGGAACGGCCCGUAGAAGCUACAGCAACCGGCGAUGAGUAUAUUCAUUGAAGCGGUGCUACAUCCGGCAGAGUUUUCUGAAAGAUGAGU